rnacentral:sRNA from 1 species
AAAUGGAAUUCUCUUAUUUUUGCUUGAUUUUUUUUUCAAGCUUUAUGUUGCAUAAGAGGGUUUUUUGCAUUUUGCAUAAAUUCUGUGUGCAGUCAUGGGGAUCUCACAUUUUUAAACCCUCCCCUGCAGUUUCUGUGGCUCAGCUCUUCUGGCCAAUUGCCUAACCUGCUGGAGUUCUAGGGGAGGAGAAAAGAUUGAGAGAAGUGGUGUCUCCUCCUGGUGCCUCCCUCUCGCCCCUGAAAUUCAGUCCAGCCAAUUCAGUGAUGGGGCUUCCCAGGGCAGAAGAGUGGAGAUCCCUACUCUGUUAAAAGAAAUGUGGCAAGAACCCUAAAUAGUCAACCUGUGUUUGAAUAUAUACUUCAUUGUUUAAGGACAACAUACAAGUAUUUUGCUCUUCCACACAAAAUUACAAAAUCCAGCCUUCUAAAGCCUCUGAAUGCAAUUACAUGUAUUUCAGAGCAUUCUAAAGAAGUAAUAAAUCAUCAUCCAGAUGUACAAACAAAAGAUGAUAAGCUCAAAAACUCAGUUUUGGCCCAAGGUCCUGGUGCUACCAGUUCAGCUGCAAAUACCUGUAAGGUACAGCCACUUACUCUUAAAGAGACUGCUGAAAGUUUUGGAAGCCCAC